UCCCCGGUGGUCCAGUGAUUAAGAAUCUGCCUUCCAAGGCAGGGGACGCAGGUUCGAUCCCUGGCUGGGGAA
rnacentral:tRNA from 1 species